rnacentral:tRNA from 1 species
UGGGGCGUCGCCAAGUGGUAAGGCAACGGUUUUUGGUUCCGUCAUUCGUAGGUUCGAUCCCUGCCGCCCCAG